rnacentral:rRNA from 1 species
UAACACAUGCAAGUCGAACGAUGAAGCCCAGCUUGCUGGGUGGAUUAGUGGCGAACGGGUGAGUAACACGUGAGUAACCUGCCCCCGACUUUGGGAUAAGCCCGGGAAACUGGGUCUAAUACCGGAUAUGACUUCUUACCGCAUGGUGGGUUGUUGAAAGAUUUAUCGGUGGGGGAUGGACUCGCGGCCUAUCAGCUUGUUGGUGAGGUAAUGGCUCACCAAGGCGACGACGGGUAGCCGGCCUGAGAGGGUGACCGGCCACACUGGGACUGAGACACGGCCCAGACUCCUACGGGAGGCAGCAGUGGGGAAUAUUGCACAAUGGGCGAAAGCCUGAUGCAGCGACGCCGCGUGAGGGAUGACGGCCUUCGGGUUGUAAACCUCUUUCAGUAGGGAAGAAGCGAAAGUGACGGUACCUGCAGAAGAAGCGCCGGCUAACUACGUGCCAGCAGCCGCGGUAAUACGU